rnacentral:misc_RNA from 1 species
GUGAAUCAUCAAAUCUUUGAACGCAAAUUGCACUCUCUGGUAUUCCGGAGAGUAUGCCUGUUUGAGGGUCAGUUUAUAUAUCAAUCGGUGUGGUUGCUGCCUUUCGCGGACACGCACCGGUUUUGGGUCGUCUUGCCUUCGGUUAAGUGUCCUAAACUUUUGCAUGAUUUUUUUCGAACGUACUUUAAUGACAUUACGUACGUUUGCGAUAUCGAAUACUAGGUGUGGUCAUCCUCAUGUUUCGCGCCUAUA